rnacentral:rRNA from 1 species
CCUACGGGAGGCAGCAGUGAGGAAUAUUGGUCAAUGGCCGGAAGUCUGAACCAGCCAAGCAGCGUGAAGGACGAAGGUGCCAAGCAUUGUAAACUUCUUUUGUCAGGGGACAAAAUCAUGCUCGAGAGCCUGACCGAGUGUACUUGAAGAAAAAGCAUCGGCUAACUCCGUGCCAGCAGCCGCGGUAAUACGGGGGAUCCGAGCGUUAUCCGGAUUGAUUGGGUUAAAAGGGUGCGUGGGGGGGUGGUUAAGUCAGCGGUAAAAUCCGGGGGCUCAACCCCGGCGAGCCGUUGAAACUGGCUGUCUUGAGAUGAGGAGAGGUAUGCGGAAUGCGCGGUGUAGCGGUGAAAUGCAUAGAUAUCACGCAGAACUCCGAUUGCGAAGGCAGCAUACCGGAGUCCAACUGACGCUGAGGCACGAAAGUGUGGGUAUCGAACAGGAUUAGAUACCCUUGUAGUC